rnacentral:rRNA from 1 species
GAUGAACGCUGGCGGCGUGCCUAAUACAUGCAAGUAGAACGCUGAAGCAGGAGCUUGCUUCUUUGGAUGAGUUCCGAACGGGUGAGUAUCGCGUAGGUAACCUGCCUGUUAGCGGGGGAUAACUAUUGGAAACGAUAGCUAAUACCGCAUAAUAUUAGAUGUUGCAUGACAUUUGCUUAAAAGGUGCAAUUGCAUCACUACCAGAUGGUCCUGCGUUGGAUUAGGUAGUUGGUGAGGUAACGGCUCACCAAGGCGACGAUACAUAGCCGACCUGAGAGGGUGGAUAGGCAAACUGGGAAUGGAACACGGGCCAGAAUCCUAAGGGGGGGAGCAAUAGGGAAACUUUGGGAAAGGGGGGAAAGCUGGACGAGCAACGGCGGCGGGAGGGAGGAAGUUUUCGGGACGGAAAGAUCCGUUUUAAGGGAAGGAAGAAAGGGAGAGUUAAAAGUGCACGUUGUGACGGUAUCUUACCAGAAAGGGACGGCUAACUACGUG